rnacentral:rRNA from 1 species
AACGAACGCUGGCGGCAUGCCUAACACAUGCAAGUCGAACGAGACCUUCGGGUCUAGUUGCGCACGGGUGCGUAACGCGUGGGAACCUGCCCUUAGGUUCGGAAUAACUCCCCGAAAGGGGUGCUAAUACCGGAUAAUGUCCUCGGACCAAAGAUUUAUCGCCUUUGGAUGGGCCCGCGUUGGAUUAGCUAGUUGGUAGGGUAAAAGCCUACCAAGGCGUCGAUCCAUAGCUGGUCUGAGAGGAUGAUCAGCCACACUGGGACUGAGACACGGCCGAGAAUCCUACGGGAGGCAGGAGUGGGGGAUAUUGGACAAUGGGCGAAAGCCUGAUCCAGCAAUGCCGCGUGAGUGAUGAAGUCCGUAGGGUUGUAAAGCUCUUUUACCCGGGAUGAUAAUGACAGUACCGGGAGAAUAAGCUCCGGCUAACUCCGUG